UACGGAGGGGGCUAGCGUUGUUCGGAAUUACUGGGCGUAAAGCGCACGUAGGCGGCUUUGUAAGUUAGAGGUGAAAGCCCGGGGCUCAACUCCGGAAUUGCCUUUAAGACUGCAUCGCUAGAAUUGUGGAGAGGUAAGUGGAAUUCCGAGUGUAGAGGUGAAAUUCGUAGAUAUUCGGAAGAACACCAGUGGCGAAGGCGGCUCGCUGGGCCGGUCCUGACGCUGAGACGCGAAGGCGUGGGGAGCGAACGGG
rnacentral:rRNA from 1 species